rnacentral:rRNA from 1 species
AGAGUUUGAUCCUGGCUCAGGACGAACGCUGGCGGCAUGCCUCACACAUGCAAGUCGAACGAAGUUUUUUAGAAAGCUUGCUUUCUAAAAAACUUAGUGGCGGACGGGUGAGUAACACGUGGGCAACCUGCCCUACAGAUUGGGAUACCAUCGGGAAACUGAUGUUAAUACCGGAUACGUUCUAAGGAUCGCCUGAUUCUUAGAAGAAAGAUUUUAUCGCUGUAGGAUGGGCCCGCGGUCCACUAGCUAGUUGGUAGGGUAACGGCCUACCAAGGCGACGAUGGAUAGCUGGUCUGAGAGGACGAUCAGCCACACUGGGACUGAGACACGGCCCAGACUCCUACGGGAGGCAGCAGUGGGGAAUAUUGCGCAAUGGGGGUAACCCUGACGCAGCAAUGCCGCGUGAAGGAUGAAGGCUUCCGGGUCGUAAACUUCUGUCUAGAGGGAUGAAUUUUUGACAGUACCUCUGGAGGAAGCCCCGGCUAACUACGUGCCAGCCGCCGCGGUAAUAC